rnacentral:lncRNA from 1 species
UUUAAGUACUGAAGGUACAUCUGCGUUCUUAUAUAAAGAGAAUAAGAUCCCUUCACCCCCCAGAACCAAGCUGGCCCCGUGGGAACAGUGUGGCCCCGCCAAGAAGGCAUGAUCUCAUUCAUUCAUUCAUUCAUCCACCCAAACACGCAGCAAGAUGCACCUCUGGGCACCGGGGCGCUGCCCUGAGCAGAGCAGGUGGCCCAGGUCCGCAUGGAGAAGACACUGCGGUGGGACAGUGGACAGAGACAGACCUCGGGGUGAAUAUGAACCACAUCUGAUGCAGGGCGGUGCCAUGGAGACGAUAAAGCAGAAUAACGGGAGGGGGCACCAGGGCUGGGUUCCAGGGAGGCCAGGAGGCCAGAGAAGGCCUGGCUGAUGAGGUGAUGUUUGAGCUGAAGUUAGCAGGAGGAGAGGGAGCUACCUGGGGUUUGGGGUGACAGGAUGCUGCAGGCAGAGGGAACAGCUGGUUCCAGAUCCUUCUCUACCCAGUGCUGGGUCACACAGCUCCUGACACACAUCUGAGGACCUGUGGCCCCUGAGGAGACAGCAGGGUAUCAGCGCAGAAAGGCUCUGGGUUUUCAGAGUGUCCUGAGGGCAGAUGACGUCUGGAAUCCCCAAAGCAGCUCAGGUCUGGGCUGAAUGCAGAGGGGGUGCAGGGGCUCAGUCCUGAACCCCCCCAUCCAGAGUCUGGGAAACUAGGCCCGAGGCUGGGACUUAAAAUGUUUUUAGAUACUGUUUCCUGGGCAUAGACAUGCACUGUCACCUCACACUCAUGUUUGUUCUUAAACGUAAUUCAUAAAUGGAAUGCAGAUUAUAAAAUACAUUUUACUCCAUUCUCACUCCCUUUCUGACUCUGACAGGGUUUUGUUGCCGCCGCUGUGGUCUGUUGAUUUUGGUGAUCUCCUCUCUCCGAAUUUCCCCUAAGUCAAGGACAGCUGGACUGGUAUUUGCUCUCUGGGUGACCGUGCUGGGUGGAUCCCAAGUUGGACUCAGCGGAGAGGCAUCGCCGGGUCGCGCUGGGGUUGCGAAGCCGGGAACCAGGCGGGAGGCUGCAGCUUUGCCGGGGCGCGUGUCGCCGGGCUGGGCGAGAGGCUCUGUCGGGGUUUCUUGUGGUUGAAACCGCUCAUCAGGGUCAAAGCCGCCCCUUGGGGUCUGCGGGGCUCUUCCUGUCCAGGUGCGGUGGUGAAUUCUGACGGCAGAACGACGGCACUUUCAGGCCCCCGCCAGCGCCGUGGUGUCCGCGGAGCCGCGGACAGUGAGACCGUCCGGGGCGGAGGCGCAGCCUCUCCCUCCUCCCGAGGCGGCUUGGACGCUCCCUCGGCCCUGAGUCCAGUCAGGCCGGUUUCCC